UGACAAUGCACCUUAAAGGCACUUUAAAGGCAACGGUGCUUUGAUACCAAUUACAACAAUGAACAGAUAAAUAGAAUGAAAGAUAAAUAGCUUUGCUGCUAGAAAGUUCUACAGGGAUAGAGGCAAAAAAAAGAGAAUUUCAUGCAGAACAAUGAGUGAGUAAAGUAAAGCAAGAGAGCCAAUGACAUGAUGCCUGCAAAAUGCAAAUAACAAGAUCUCUGGUUCACCAAAGAAAUGAUAAAGACUGACUUGUCUUUAUCCGUCCUCGGACCCUAGUUUCAGGAAAGGAAAAAGGCUUCCUCUAACCAUCCAAACACAGGCAGAUUGGAUUGUUUUUUUUUGUGAAUUUCAUCAAAAACAGUCUCUGGCAACAGCUCCACCCACAUGACCCUUUAAAACACAACAGUGUAGAUGGACAUACACUAAAGAAGUUCAUUCUGUCUACGUGCUGUUGUAGAAAACACGUUGGAUUUUCUUCUGAGCCUCAUUAAAUGACUGAAUGAAUGCGACGUACCGAGCAGAGAAAUUCACCUCGGGCACCGCGCUGGACCUGGAAUUAUUUUGGGACGAGGACACUGUACCCUUGUUUAAGUUUAUGAGGGUUAGUUUGUCCUCCUUAAUGAUGUGACAUCAGUAAAAGCCUCCACAGAUGUGACACAUAUGAAGGUAAGCCGGUUCACCCCCGAUCCGCCUCGCUCAUCGUUUCUUUCCGGUGAGUUUGCCAAUCGGAUGAAAAGUGAAAAAAAAAUAAAAAUAAACGAAUGUGAAAACAUUCUGAAGGACAGACAUGGCGAAUACAAAGGAGACAUACAAUGUAACGCAUAAAUGGAGGUUUAUUUUGAAAGAAUCAUCCUGUUGAACUGGUUUUUGAGAAAUAAAUUACCUCUGGAAACAGAACGAGAAAAAGAAAAUUAAUUUCAAUGAAGCUUUGACUCUGAAAGAUCACAAUUUCAGGUAUUUUAUUUGAUUCAUAAUUCAUAUUCAACCUCUUUUGAGAGAGAGAGAGAGAGAGAGAGAGAGUUAUUCAAUAAAUUUUUCAAAACCUACACCAGUGCCACUUUUGUACGCCGCACAGUUGCUCUGGACAGUCGCUGUACACUCGACGUGACAAGGCUGAAGUCAUCAGUCGCAAGUCUCUCACCAAUGAAAGCAUCUGAUUAAAAAAUAUUUUCCUUUCAAAAGCUGCGGCCAGAAUUUGAAAGAAAAAUGUUAAUUUCAGACCUCGUAAAUAGCGUGGCAUAAUAAUAGGCAGUACAUUUAAAAAAAAUUAUUUAUAUUGUAGGGAUUUUUGCCCAUGUGUCGCUACCUUAUUUGAGUGUGUUUCACAAGAGGAAAGGACAGUACAGGAAAGGAAAG